AUACGUAAGUGGCGAGCGUUAUCCGGAUUUACUGGGUGUAAAGGGCGUGUAGGCGGUUUUUGUAAGUCGGAUGUGAAAUUCCCAGGCUUAACUUGGGAGCUGCAUCCGAAACUACAGAACUUGAGUACUGGAGAGGAUAGUGGAAUUCCUAGUGUAGCGGUAAAAUGCGUAGAUAUUAGGAGGAACAUCAGUGGCGAAGGCGACUAUCUGGACAGUAACUGACGCUGAGGCGCGAAAGCGUGGGGAGC
rnacentral:rRNA from 1 species